rnacentral:lncRNA from 1 species
AAAAAAAGGAACAUAAAUCUUUGGAGAAGGAAAAGAAAGUUUUAUAACUUCUUUGCUUAGUGUUUGCCUUAAGGUAUUACGUAUUUCUUUGACUUACUUAUAUAAUUUAUUUUUAUUAAUUAUUUGCCUUUAAUUACUUGUAUUAUGAUUUGGGUAAUAUAUGUGUGUUUGUAAUGCUGUGAUGAUAUGAACAGUCUGCAUUCUUUGCUUCAAAUCGUUUUCUUUAUUUAGAAUCACAUGAAUAUGUUUACAAAUCAUGAAACUAGACAUCCUAAGCUUUCCAUUGAUAGGUUUUUUGUUGAAAUCUUCUGAGUAUGCAAAUUGUUAUGAUUUUUCGAAAUUGGGUUACUGGUGCUGGAAAAUUCCGAUUUUCGGCCGCAGUUCUCACUUCUGGAAAUUUUUAUCCGUAAGGUUACACAUAUUUAAAAAUUAUGGAGAUUUUUGUAUCAACAGAUCUAUGUCUCGUAUGAUUACAUAUUUAAUUUCGUAAUUUUAUUCAUUAUGGUUAAAUUAUUAAAAAUCAUAACAUGCGGCUGCUGCAGAUCUGGAAACUGUUUUCCAGAAUUGCAGAAGCUGAAACAUGUAGCAGUUUGGGCAAAUUUAUGAACAUUAUAUGCCAUGUUAGAUUUUAUAAUGAAAUUUCAAUCUUUCCUCUGUCUUUAAAAAACUUGAAUCGCGAUUUUUGGGCAUGUAAAAUAAAAUAUAUGAAAAUUGGAAAUUCUGUCUUCAAAUCUGGAAUUUUCUGGACAGGUUAGAUGUUCUCGGAAAUAAAAUGCUUUUAAAAUAGUUUCAGGCGUCCCAAAAUUAUAAAUUUUAAUUAUAUGCUUUCUAAAUGUGUCUUCUGUAAAUAGAAAAAAGAAACGGAUUAUUUCGAGUACUAGAGAAUAUUUUAUGAAUUUCCUAAGUUGUAAAGGUCUGUUUUGGUCAAUGUUUGACAGUUUUGUUACUUUGGUGAAAGGUCAAUAUUCUGACUUGAUUUUCACUUGUACUGAUUUUUGUGAAAUUUUGUAUGCAAUGCUAUCCAUGUUCACAGUACCUCUGUAAAUUUUCAUGGUUUUCCGACAUGUGUAUAGGUUAUUAAAAAUCAGCAUGUGCAGGAUACUCAUGUUUAUGUCUAGAAUAUGUAUAAGUAUUGAGUUAGUACAAGUGCCUAUGAUUUAAGGAUGAUUGAGAUUAUGUUGAAGGUUAGAGAUAAUAUUGAUAAGGAUAUUGUUAUGAUGAUUAUUUGAAGGUUAGAGAUAAUAUUGAUAAGGAUAUUUUUAUGAUGAUUAUAGGACGUGGGUGAGCUCGUUGGUUUGUUCUUGAGGUAUUAAGUUGAUUGUUGCGGAUCGAAGUAAGUAGAUUCAUGCAUAAUGUGCUUUAUAAUAAAUGCAAUUUAUGUUAUAAGAAUUAUGUCUAAAUGAAAUUUUUUACAAAACUGAUUUCUAAAAUAUUUAAAUGGAUUUUGUAAAAUAAAAACACUUUUAAAUGAAUUUAUAAAAAUGUAUUUUAAAAUGAAAUUUUCUUAAGAAACUAGUUUUCUUAAACAAAAUGUUUUCUUAAAGAAUUUUCUAAACAAAUUAAAUGAUCAAAGAAAGAUUUUUAAAUGUUUUAGAGGACUUUAAAUGUUAUUUAUGAAAGGAUGUAUGGUGGAUUCAAAAAUGUUUUGGCUCAUAGUCCGUAGUAAUGCAUAUGAUGCUAAUGUUAUGAUGUUAUGUAAUGCUAUGGCCAGCUUGCUGGUAUGAUGAUGAUCUUGUGCACAAUGAUGUUAUGAACAAUGCGGGGUAUAGUACCCUGAAUGAUGAAUGAUGAUGACUAUGAGGCAUGAGCUACCAAAUGUUUAUGUUUUAAUGUUUUUAUGAAUGUUUUUAAUGCUUUUACAUGAAUCCAUCCCUUAUGCUAAAUGAAGAUGUUAGUGUAAGAUGAUAUAAAAUGUUUAAAGGUAUAAUAACAAAAGUUUUCAAAUAUCGUGUAUGGAUUUGCUUACCGAGUUGACGGCUCACCCCUCGUCUCCAAUAUUUUGCAGAUUGAUUAGAUAUGUGGCUUGGGUACUUAGAUGAAGAUUUUUUUUAGUGAAUCUUUGGAGUUGCUUUAAAGAUUAAUUUUAGCUAAACUUUUUAUUUUGGAUUAAAGAGUUUUCUUUGGAGACUUUAUUUCAGAUGUUUUAUGUAAGGAUCUAGUUAGAGUACGAAUAAUGAUUGUUAUCUUGAGGUUAAUUAAUAAGAACAAACGAUAUGAUGUUUUAUUCUAAUUUUACCCUUGUGCUUUCAUGGGUAGUUUUUUGGGGUGUUACAUAAUAAGUAUUGUUCAAAACUCUUAAGGACUAAAGAAAAACUUACCUUAUGAUUGUCUAUAUAUAUACAUUGCAUAGUACAUAUCAUACCAAGAAAUAAUAUGUGUGUGUGUGUAUCUUGAAUUUGAAAAAGGGAAAAUCCUCCAUGCUCAAGCUUCUACUUAAAUUUUUUGUUUUUGAAAUUAACUCUAUAGUUAAUUCUGAUAGUUGGAAAAUUUGGAAAUUGUUUGACUCCAUCCUCAAGCUUGUCAGGUCGUGUGGUCCGUGGCAAGAUCGUGAGAGGGAGAGAUUUCUUCAAGCCGAUUACGAUGAGAUCAUUUCAAUUCUGCAACGCUCAUCAUCACCUUUGGCUUCAAAAUCCAGGAAGGAUCUUUACAAUUAUCUUUGCACAAGUCCAAUAUUAAUAGGCGAUGGUGCCUUGGUAAGCAAAACUCACUCUCUUCCUACUUAUUUUCAGGAAUUAUUUACGAGCCAAUAUAAUUAUUGCUAUAUUUGUUCUACCUAUGUUUGUUGCAUUAAAACUCUCACUAAGCUAGGUGCUCUUCAUUCCAGCAGACCAUGCCUGCCUAACAUAUGCGUAAACCAUUUAUGCCUUAACUCAAAUAUACUUUUUAGCCAACUAUUACCAUGUGCAUCAUAUUCAUCAAGCAUGUUAUCCCAAGCAACUAGAAACUCAUUUUCAUCCUCAAUACUAUCCAUAAACACUGACAAGACACUUUUCACUGUACGAGUACCUUUAAACACACCAUUUACAUGCUUCAAGGCAUUUUGCAUCAUAUGCCAUGUGCAAAGCCUAUGGUAUGUAUUUGGCAUGACAUUUAAGAUAGCCUUGGCCAUUGCAGCAUCCUGAUAUGUGAAAAUUGUUUUUGGAGCCUUUCCAGACAUAGCCUGCAAAAAUGUUUCAAAUAGCCAAAUGAAGGAAUCAACAGUUUCAUCAUACAAUAAUGCUGCACUAAAGGUAACAAUCUCUCGAUGAUGAUUCAGUCCAACCAACACUGCAAAUGGCCGAUUCUCUUUAUUAAUUUUGUAAGUCGUAUCAAAACUUACAACAUCACCAAAUUGACCAUAAUCAAUUAUCAUUUUAGCAUCAGCCCAAAAUAUAUUUGUGAUUUGCUCUUCAUUAUCUAACUGUAUAGAGGAAAAAAAUGAAGGAUUUUUUAAUUGUUGUUCAGAGAAAUAAUUUAGAAUAUACCCUGCUUCCC